rnacentral:rRNA from 1 species
UACGUAGGGUGCAAGCGUUAAUCGGAAUUACUGGGCGUAAAGCGUGCGCAGGCGGUUUUGUAAGUCUGACGUGAAAUCCCCGGGCUCAACCUGGGAAUUGCGUUGGAGACUGCAAGGCUAGAAUCUGGCAGAGGGGGGUAGAAUUCCACGUGUAGCAGUGAAAUGCGUAGAGAUGUGGAGGAACACCGAUGGCGAAGGCAGCCCCCUGGGUCAAGAUUGACGCUCAUACACGAAAGCGUGGGGAGCAAACAGG